rnacentral:rRNA from 1 species
UGGGUACGGGCAGACUAGAGUGCGGUAGGGGAGAUUGGAAUUCCUGGUGUAGCGGUGGAAUGCGCAGAUAUCAGGAGGAACACCGAUGGCGAAGGCAGAUCUCUGGGCCGUAACUGACGCUGAGGAGCGAAAGGGUGGGGAGCAAACAGGCUUAGAUACCCUGGUAGUCCACCCCGUAAACGUUGGGAACUAGUUGUGGGGUCCAUUCCACGGAUUCCGUGACGCAGCUAACGCAUUAAGUUCCCCGCCUGGGGAGUACGGCUGCAAGGCUAAAACUCAAAGGAAUUGACGGGGACCCGCACAAGCGGCGGAGCAUGCGGAUUAAUUCGAUGCAACGCGAAGAACCUUACCAAGGCUUGACAUACACGAGAACGCUGCAGAAAUGUAGAACUCUUUGGACACUCGUGAACAGGUGGUGCAUGGUUGUCGUCAGCUCGUGUCGUGAGAUGUUGGGUUAAGUCCCGCAACGAGCGCAACCCUCGUUCUAUGUUGCCAGCACGUAAUGGUGGGAACUCAUGGGAUACUGCCGGGGUCAACUCGGAGGAAGGUGGGGAUGACGUCAAAUCAUCAUGCCCCUUAUGUCUUGGGCUUCACGCAUGCUACAAUGGCCGGUACAAAGGGCUGCGAUACCGUAAGGUGGAGCGAAUCCCAAAAAGCCGGUCCCAGUUCGGAUUGAGGUCUGCAACUCGACCUCAUGAAGUCGGAGUCGCUAGUAAUCGCAGAUCAGCAACGCUGCGGUGAAUACGUUCCCGGGUCUUGUACACACCGCCCGUCAAGUCAUGAAAGUCGGUAACACCUGAAGCCGGUGGCCCAACCCUUGUGGAGGGAGCCGUCGAAGGUGGGAUCGGUAAUUAGGACUA